rnacentral:misc_RNA from 1 species
GGACAGGGAAGAUCUCCUCCUUCCUGGUUACCAAACUGAGUUGAUCAACCAGGUUGCCAAAGUUGCCAAAGGUCCGGUGAUUCUCGUAAUCAUGUCAGCAGGAGGUAUAGAUAUCUCUUUUGCUAAGGACAACACUAAUAUUAAAGCCAUUCUGUGGGCUGGAUACCCUGGAGAGGAAGGUGGCCGCGCAAUUGCAGAUGUAGUUUUCGGCAAAU